AGGAGGAACAGCCCCAGUGGUGGGGCCAGCUCUGGAGCCCUGGAUUCAGCUCCGGCAGUAACUCCGGAGCUCUCCGUCUGCAGGGCCUGGAGGCUCCGGGGCGGG
rfam:Canis lupus familiaris chromosome X, whole genome shotgun sequence.